rnacentral:piRNA from 1 species
AUGCAAAUAACCCAGGAGGAGGC